rnacentral:lncRNA from 1 species
UUGUGAAUGAUUUUUUGACCGUUAUUUUACUAUUAUAGCCGUCAUGUUUGGCUUUUUUUCUCACGGGUGACCAGCACUUUUCUCCUAAUGGUCAAAAAAUCAAUUUUCAAAAUCACUACCAAACAGCCCUUAAUGAAGUCUUAAUGAUCAAAAUUCUUGAAUUCUUAAUUGCUUUAAUACCAUAUCCAGAACAAUUACCUUAUUUAAAAACUGAAUAAACUUUUUUGUAUUUAAUUUUUUUAGCAGGAUGACUAUGCUCAUCCUCUUAGCUGUCUAUGCCAUUGGGCUAGCUAAAUUUGGCCCGUGUCCACUCCUAUCAUGUGGAAAUUCAUUCUUGUUCUCAUUUUUUAUGCCCCACGCUGAGGGAAAAUCCUUCACGGGCUGAUGUGUGACAUUCAAACUUAUCAUCGAGUGUUCAAAUCAGUGUUACUGAUUACUUCAUUGGAAAUUGAGGUUGAAAAGUCAUGCCAGCAAAUUCUGCCAAUAAAAACUAAUAAUACAACAUACUGAAAUCCAUUAAUUUCCAG